rnacentral:lncRNA from 1 species
CGCCACCAGGCAGAUCUAGCCGUAGAUUCUAUUCCAAAAAGGUCUCUCCUAAAGUCCCAACAGGCAGCUAUAACAUAGCUCACAUCACAUAUGAGCUUAAUGUCCUUGGCACCCGUGGUCCGAGAAGGAUGCACUGCAUUAUGCACUCAAUCCCCAUCUCAGCCCUUGAGGCAGGUGGCACCGUUCCUGGGCAGCCAGAGCUCCUACCUCGCUCUGUUGAUGACUCAUUCCGAAGCAUUUCCUUCUCAAAGUCUCUUGACCACUCAGUGGAGUUCAGCAGUUCACGCUUUUCUGAAAUUGGUGCUGCUGCUGUUGCUUGCAGUGAAGAUGAGGAAGGGAAAUCAAAACCCUUGAUUCUGAAAAACAAGGCACCGAGAUGGCAUGAACAGUUACAGUGCUGGUGCCUGAAUUUCCGAGGACGAGUUACAGUAGCCUCUGUUAAGAACUUUCAGUUGAUUGCAUCCACACAGCCAACUGUCACGGCUGCACCAACAACUUCCCAGCCAGCGCAACCUGAACAUGAUAAAGUCAUAUUGCAGUUUGGUAAGGUAGGAAAAGAUAUGUUUACUAUGGAUUAUCGCUACCCGUUGUCUGCUUUCCAGGCAUUCGCGAUCUGUUUAAGCAGUUUCGACACCAAAUUGGCUUGUGAAUAAAAGAUUGAAAAAGAAGAUUAUCUUCAACUCUAGAGCUAUAAAAGGAUUGCAUAAAGAGGAAUAGCAUGUCUUCUGUAUUGUUAAUUUCUGUUCAAGUCGUCUCCUUUAGACACCAGAGUAGGAGACUCUUGUUAGUGUCAUGUUUGUUGUAAACUCAACUGUAACAGUAGCCCUAUGCUCUGCUCUUUGGGUGCUUCGACCUUUCUAAUCUCAAUUCUAUCUGUCUCAUCCCCCUCCCUCCCUACCUUUAUAUAUAUGCUGUGGUUCGAAUAAACACCAUUUUAGCGUGAUAAAACAUGAGAACUAUGUGUUCUGCCAUUUUUUUUUUGUUGUGUUCCGCCGAUUUGCUAGAUUUGAUCACGUGAAAUCUCCUAUGUGUAAACUGUGGGCAAGAGGUUGCCAUCUUUGAAGUCUCUUAUUGUCAACUUGGAUGAUAUUUCAUUACUGUAUAGAGAGCAUAAUUAAUCUUUUUCACAGCACAACUAGAUCUAAUCAUUCACCUUCCUAUAUUCAAAAGCAAUUGAAAAAAGUUAAGUUGAUAUGAUAACUUGAGAAAGCAACAAUCUUUUUUCCUCCUACACUGUUAAGGCAUUAAAUGUUAUGGAGAUCCAAGGAGAUCUUCUGGUGAUCACAAAAUGAGGCAGAAUAGGUGUAGAGAGCCAUGAAUAUUGAAUAGAAUUGACACUUUCAAACAAUAAUUAUGGGACAUCAACAUCAACUAGAUCAAAGGCCACAUUGUUUGGCCAACAACUUGUGAUGGUAAUGAUGCAAGGAGAAUUUUGCUUGGAAAAGUUUCUGAUGGUAUCUAGUUUCAAGAAUUCGGAUGGAUCAAAGUUCCCGACUCUCUCAAAACCUCGAGUCAUAUAUAUGUGUUAACACUUAACACAAGCACAAUGAGUUUUUUUUUUAUCAAUGAAGUAAAAAUGGGAUGUAAAACAAAGGUUUGCAUCAACUCCCAGGGAAAUACCAGACUUGUGGGAAGAAAAAAGAGUAUUUUUACUGUGAAGAAGCCUUGUAUGUAGGACAAGACUCAAGAGUGCAAGGCAAGAUUGGAUAUGCUGGUAGGAAAAGAAAGAUAUAUACCAAGCAGAAACUAGUAACAUCAGCUAGGGCCAGUCAUUAAGAACCCAGAAAAGUCUCCAUUAAUGCCUUAUCUACAAGCAAGACACUUUGCACACUUAGACUGGAGGAUUAAUACAGUAGUAGUUUUACUCCCAUCAAUACAGCAGAAAAGUGGCACCCUCAGUUGCUACAGUAAGUAAUGCCUUGAGAAUAGGUCUUGAUCCUGAAAAAACUUCAAAUACGCGGUGCAAGCCUGCAAGGGCAUGUAUCUGACAGGAUCAAGAACAUUUCCUCCACGCGGCUUCGAUGUGUUGUGUAUAAAUUGAUCAGAAUAGCACAAUGCAGUAAUGUAUGGGUUCCAAAAAAUCAAGAUUGCUAUUGUUAAGAACGUCAAGAAGGUGAUGCUGCCAAGACAAAUCGACGGAUGCCUAGAAAUUAAAAAAUCCGCAAAUAGCUGCAGAGGGAAACCUACAGGGAUGCAAAUUUAUGAUUCAUAUGAAUUAGAGGUGAUACCAUCUGGUCAGUAUCAGUUAAGAUAUUGGUAGGAGCCCAGAAUCUGUAACCAAUGACACGUCAUAUAUGCAGCUGCAUGACAGCUGUUGCAAGCCACUCGGGCCAAGAAAUAAAUUUGCAUGUGAAUUUACGAUAUGAAUGUGGAUGACUAGUUACGAUAUGAGUUAACAUUCCAUGUAUUUUAAGAUAUGAAUGUGGAUGACUAGUUGCGAUCAUAAAAUCAAUCAAAAUAUAAAUUUUGGUGUAUCCACUGAAAUUAAAUUAAUUUGUCAAAAUAACUAAUUCAUGUAUCAUCUUUUUGCAGGAAAAAUUGAUAAUGCAGCAUCACCUUCUGCAAGAAUAUUACUAGUACUACUCAAGUAACGCCCAGCUAGGCAUGUCAACGGGUCGGGUUUGGAUCAUCAGUCUAAAUCCAUAUCCAUAUCCAUUUAUUUUAUCGGAUUUGAAUUCGGAUCGGAUUGGGACAAGAUUUUUUAAAGACCAAUCCAUAUCCAGAUCCAUUAGGAACACGGAUCACGGAUCGGAUAUUCGAAUCCAUUUAACUUUUUUUGAUUUUUUUAGAUUUAAAAAUAUUUUAAAAAAAUUCAUGUCGGUGAUUCUUCAAGUUCCGGAAGGACAAGAUUAAAACGAGAUUUCAUGAUGCAAGUAGCAUGAUAUAUUUUCAUCUAUAAAAAAUAUCACAAAUUAAGUUAGAAAAAAAAAAUACACAAAAUGAUAUAAUUUCGAGGAUACUAGUUGCUCUAACUUUUAAACUCAUACAUACUCCUUUUGUUUGUUAAUAUACGACAUUUGACUUUUUGGUACACAUUUUUAAGUAUUUUGAAAGGUUAGUUAAAAGUAUUUUUAAUAUUUUCUUUUUCUGAAUAAAAAUAUAUAAUCAAUAUUUCAAUUUACAAAAAAAUUCAUUUAAAAAUAAUAUUUUAUACUAUCCGAUCAACCCACCUAAAAAUAUGUGCUCAAGUCAAAAGUGUCGUAUAAAAAAACCAGAGGGAGUCCUAAUUAUUUAAAUGAUUAAUCAAACAUACCAUCCCGGACUCACAUAAAUGCUAUCCAGUCACUAAUACAAUUCAAAAAAUUUAUAAUAUAUAUAUAUAUUCCACCGGAUCGGGUUAUUAACGGAUCAGAUCACCUUAAAUACAUAUCCGCUUUAUUUAUUAUCAGAUUUUUUUAUCGGAUCAGAUUUCAGAUCGAAUUUAUUUUUGAUCCCAGAUCGGCUCGGAUCGGGGCGGAGCUCCGGUCCAUGGACAAACCUACGCCCAGCUCAGCUAGCAUAUAAACAAACAUUUAUAUAUUUGAAUCAUAAAACAAAACGUAAAGCACCCAAUUUUAAGUACAAAGUCUAUUCUUUAAGAUUUUGAUAGUCUAUUGCUCUUAAAGUUCCUUCCUUUCUGGAGUUUUUGAGAAUCCAAGGACUUGAUAUAUACACUUGUUUAAACCCCAACUCAAGAUUUUCUUGCAAUUGAAAAUUUAAGGUAUGCGCUGUUUAGCAUUGCUGUUUUCUGUUUUUUAAGUUUCUAUUAUAUGGGUUUUGCAUUUGUAUUGCUCUAGGUUCAGAAAGUUCAUGUCUUUUCUUAUGUUUUUGUAUCUUCUGGGAAAUUGAUUCUGACCCUAUUGCAUCUUAGAGGGUUUUUUACUUGUAUAUGGUAAUUGGGUUUUGAUUAUAUUGGUGGUUAUAUUGGGGGUCACCCUGUUUGUAUCUGGAUGUUGUUGUAGUGUUUAUUGAGUUGUCUUUAGAUAGUUUGUGGGAGAUUUUGUUUGAAUUGGGAAAAUGCCUUCUACGGAUAGCCCGGGUUUAUCAAUGCCAUUCGCUACAUUUCGUCGAUCAGUUUUUGGUUUAGGGAAUGAUAGAAUUCAUUCCUUGGAAUCGAAUCGUAGUCCACUUGUCCAAAACACUGAGUUUGAGUCAUUUCAGAAUAAAGUCUAUAAGAGAUUUCAUGAUCUCUCGAUUGCCAACUGCCAAGGCUGAUGAGUUUCUUUCACUUACAUGGAUAAGUAAGUUACUUGAUACCUUGAUUGAUUUCCAAGAGGAAUUUAGGGUCCUAUUAUGUAAGUAUAAGGUUGAUAUGUCGAAACCGCCUUUAGACAAGAUGAUUCUGAUUACUUUGAGAGGAGCAUCAAGGUGCUUGACAUAUGUAAUGCAACUAGAGAUGGGGUUGAUAUGAUUAGGCUUUGGAACAAGCAUUUGGAUAUGGUUCUAAGUGCUUUUGGUUCUCGACAAAGGAUCAUUGGUGAAGGCACGUUUCGUCGAGCAAGAAAAGCUUUGACAGAGUUAGCACUCGUGAUGCUUGAUGAUAAGGGCUACGGGAGUGUUGUCUCACACAUGAAUAAGGUCUUUUGGGUGGCAUAAUAAGGGGAAAGAACAGCACUAUCGUUUACAAGGACACUCAAGGUCUCUGUCUUGGAGUGUAUCACAUUCGUGGUCAGCAACAAAGCAGCUUCAAUCCAUUGCAAACACAGUAGUUCCACCGCGUGCUCAUGAGAUCACAGAAACUAAAGGGCUUGCAGUUCCCAUCUUCACAAUGAGUUUUGUGCACAUGUUUGUACUGUGGGCUCUGGUUGCUGCUAUUCCUUGUCAAGAUCGCAGCCUUCAAAUUCAUUUCUCUAUUCCAAGGCAGUUUUCAUGGUCAACUCCUUUUUACUUGAUUCAUGUCAGGAUCAUGGAUGAAUCUAAGAAGAGAGAUCACAGAAGCUCCAUUGGGUUACUUCAGGAGAUAUAUCAGCUAGAAAGUAGUGUUAGACGCAUCACAGAUAUUGUAGAUUCUGCCCACUUUCCUAUGACAGAGCAACAAAAGGAAGAAUCGAAGUCUGCGGUUAAGGAGAUAACUUUGGUAUGUGAAGCUUGUAAAGAUGGAAUGGAUCCCCUUGAACGACAAAUAAGGGAAGUGUUUCGCAGAAUUAUGAGUUUCCGGAUUGAGGGUCUUGCAAUACUAGGGAGGGAAGACUAGCCUUGUUAAUUCAGACCACCACUAAUGAACAGCAAAAAAAAAGAAGAAUAUCGGACGAAUCUGGGAAUUAGUGUUUUGACCAGCCUCGCUCAGAAAAUGUUCUCCCUAUUGUUAUUUAGCAGGUACUUUCUUUAUUUACAAGCAUACCUCACAUAAUGUAAAGAAUAUACGAGUGUUUAUAUUGGACCAUCCUAAACUGGGUGUUAUCCAAAUUAAUUGAUUGGUUUCUUCUUGUUUAUUUCUCUUUCGCAAGGUUUGAUUGAAGGAGCAAGUUUGUGUAUAUGAGAAGAUUCUUUUAAAGGAUAUACGCACACACACCAUUGCUUAUCUGUUUUUAUUGUAUAUCAUCUUGGCCUUCCAUUGAUGAUGAUUAUGAAUAUGAGAAGUUGAUUUGAGUUUGUUUUAAUCUUUUGGUGCGCACUGCACAAUGCACUGCACUAUGGUAGAUGUUUUGAACGGCGAUUGAGAUGAUUCAUUGACAAAAGUAAGAGUUUGUCGGAUGUGGGAGUAGACUGUUAUCUCAUGAAUUUAAAUUGAUGUUUUUGCGGACAACCAAUUCAAAGAAUUUGGAGGAAGGAGUCACUAAUAUACACCUGCAUGGAUUGGAAUUAAUAUGUCCCGACAUGAUUAAUGUUCGUAUAACUAGAACAUAAUGUUUAUCCCUAUUAAAACUGGGGAUGUUUUCGGAUUUGCAUAUCAAUAUCUUGUUGAUUUUUACGUACUUAUGUUUUUGCAAACUUAUUGUCCGUUUUAUUGGUCAAUCAAUGUAUAUGGCUAGAUGUCAUCAAUCAGUUCUGUUAAAGAGCUGUAUGCUUUUUACAUGUAGGGCAUGGUGUAUAUGUUUAAGAAGUAGUGUUUGAAAAUUAAUGACAAUGUUCUUGAAAAACAUGCUUACUUUAAAAAAAAAAAACACAACUAAAAGUAAGGUUCGUCAUGCCUUCGAUCGUUGAUUAUAUGUAGAAAUUCAUUUUUAUUUUUCACUCAUGAAUUAAAGUCCAAUUUUGUAAUUUCAUAUAUUAAUAUUGGUAUUGUAUCGAGAUGUUUAUAAUAUAAAAUUUAUUUUACUCUGCAAAUACUAAUUUUGAGUCAUUAAUAUAAUUUUUAUACGCCGCCGCAACGCGCGGCUUCUCAACUAGUAUAGAACUUAUAGUGAAUUAUUAUAUUGAUAAUGUGACAAUUCUGAUAUUAUUUUUUCUACUUUCUUUUUAUUUAUAUUUUAUUUUAUCUGAUAAAAAAGUUGGAUAUUGAGUUGCAGAGAAGUGAAUAUAAUUAGAGGGAAGUGAAUAUUAUAUUUAUUAAUAAUUUAAAGAAUAACUAGAUACUUUUUUUAACUAAGACACUUUUAGAUGAGAGGAAACUCUUGAAUUUUCAAAAAGCUGUUAUAAAUAUAUUAGAGCACUAUUUUUUCACAUCUCUUUAAAUUUAAAAUUAAGGAUUUUUGUAUAACUCAUCGACAAUGCUCUUAGUUUAUUCAUUGCUAGAUUAUAAAUUACCUACUGUACUUUUUAUGAAAUGGUUGAGACAUAUUUUCACAACAGGUUAAAUCUUGAAUUUUUUUCAAAAUUUUGGUCAAGUUUUUAGUUUGUGAAUUUAAAAAUAAGUCAAAAUAUACUAUUCUAAAUGUAACGAUUUGAAUAAUACACAAGCCCAUUGUAUGCCUCCAAAAAAUCACCAUUUAUUUAUUGGUGUAUUGUGCAAUUGAUAAUGAAUUAAUUCAUAUUAAUAAAUCAAAAGAAUGUCUCUAUUUUGUAAACGUGAGACUGAAAUGUUAUAUAAACACUUAACUCCUUAAAGUUAGAACUUAUUUAUAGGAAUAUAUUUACGAAUCAGUACUGAAAAGCAUGUGUCCAUCAUUCCGGCCAAAGAUGAAAUAAAGAGACCAUGAGAUUUAAAUUAAGGAGCCGUGCAAAAAUUUUACUUGUUUUCUUAUCAUAUAAACAAUCUGAUUUGUCUUAUAUGACGACUAACAGUUUCAAUAUACAACGUAAUAAUGCAGCAAAUUGCUAUGACCAAUGUUCCAGAAUUCGCUAGGCGUCCCUGGACGGUCGGGGUACCUUCGAGUGAUUAAUCGGGAAAUCGGGGAUUAAUCGGAAGGAUUAAUCGGAGCAUUUAAUUGGACAUAUAUUAUUUUUAAAUUAUUAUAAUUAAAUGUAAUUUAAUAAUUUUAUCUAUUUUUCACUACUGGUAGAGUCAAACUGGUAAAUAAUAUAAUAUCACAUAUAAAAUAAAUACUUGAUACAUGUAAUACAAAAUCGUUGAUUAGAUAAAUAUAUAUCAAUCAUUCUCUUAUAAAUAAUUUAAGAAAUAUUAAAUAAAAAUAUUAGUCAUUUUAAUUUUUUUAUAAGAUAUUAAGUUAAUUACAAGUGAAUACUUAAUUUCUUACAAUAUAAUCAUAAUUUUAGAUUUUAUUUAUUAAAAAUAUGAUUUUUUUUGUUAUUAGCCGCCUGGACCGCCUAGGCGGGAUGUUGACCGCCUAGGACCGAUUUUUGUAAAAAAAUGUCUAAUUCACCGCCUAGGACCGAAUCAGGGCGUUUCGGGGCCGCCUAGCGUCUAGGCACCGUCUAGACCAAUUUUUAGAACACUAGUUAUGACCGAGUAGUAUAAUAUGGUGAGCUAUCACAUAACUUUCAUCUGGCGGGAAAAACGACGUUAAACAUAGAAAAUUCUAAUAUGAAAUAAUUUAUAAUGAUAUUGUAACACUUUAAAUAUACGUCAAAAACAUAAUUAUUGUAUUAUUUUUUUCAACUGUAUGUAUGCUACUAAUGUUAGAGAACCAUACCACUUGUAUAUAGUGGUGUACAAAACAGAAAUUGCAAAAUAAGUAUACACGAGCCUUUCACUUCCUUUCCCCAAAAAAAAAUUUUACAACCCAAACCGGCCAAACACUGCCCUAAUUCGAGGAUAAUAAAAAACAGCAACUGUUUAUAUCGGCAACUUUCGUUAAAGCGUUGUUUGUCAGAGACUUUGGUGCGUGUAUACAUACAAUCUCUAUCUCCAUCUGUAUCGCAUAUACGACUGCACAGUGCCCCCAACUCACAAUCUCAAAAAGUCAACACCAUGUUAGUCGUUGGUUGCUUUCUAGCCAGGUUUUGAUGAUGUAGUGGGUAUUAUUCUAUUUCUUAUUAUGUUCAAGAUUCAAGCUUUUUGAUGUUUUUAUGUUCAAUAUGAGUCUUUCAGAUCUUGGUAUGUGAGUUCUUUGGGGGUUUUGUUCUUAAUAAUGGUAUAAUUUCAGUGGUUUUGAUUUUUGGUUCACUGGCUCUCAAGAAAAAAAGUAAAAAAAAUUCUUAUUUUUUAAUUUUAAUUUAUGCUUCUGUUUUUUGCAAGACAUGGUUAGGUUUUUGCCAGUUUUACUUUGUGAUUUAAUUGAUGUUUGAAGGUAGAUAUGCUUGUUGAUUGUGAAUUUUUGGGCUGAUUUUGAAUGGGUCAAUUUUGACUUUUUCAAGUAAUUUGUAUAGUCUGUAUAUAUUUUCUAUCUGAUUUCUGAACUUGAGUUGAUGGAUGCAGAUCUUAAUGUUGCUGUAGGGAUUUGAAAAAAUUGUGUAGUAAGCAGCUUAGAUUCCUCAUCCUUUGGGCCUUUCCUGAUAGCUAUAUGUUUAAUUUUACACUUUGAUAUGCUUGUAAACAUACAAUCUGGUCAUGUUAAGAUUUCUGUUGUGAACUGAGAAUCAGGUACAUAUAUGAUAUAUGUAUGUUUUAUUGAAUUGCAUCUUGAAGAGUUGAAAUAUAAUGUACAAAUGAAACCAAGCCUGCAUUUGAUUUGUUAUUUGUUUCGGUGUAUUGUUGUAUGAGUGUACUGAAUCAAAUAUUUGUUCACAAGAUUAGGCUAAAAUCAACAACCUUAGCCUUUUUUAGUGGAACUGUAAGAGUUAUUAGACCUUGAUAAAUAUCAGAAAGAUGCAAGUAAAAAAUUUCUCAAUUUAGUCUAGUUUAGAGUCACUAUGAAUGUGUCUUUAUCUACUCAUCUUCUUUUCUUUUCUUUUUUCCUUUAGAUGCCCUUUUGAUUUCUCCCUUCUCUUUAUCUGAGAAUAUAAGUCUUUGCCUCAUAAAUCUAAUUGACCUUUCAUAUUUUAUUGCAGCUUUAUUCACAUGUGAAGUGUAAUAAAAUUAUAGAAAUAGAGUGAAAGUAGUUGUGACUAGAGUUCUGAAAGUGAGUUUCAAUUGCCACCAGUUAGAUUUGGAGAUAAAUGUCAUUCCGCAGUAUAGUUCGUGAUGUGCGAGAUAGUAUCGGGAGCUUAUCCAGGCGAAGUUUUGAUGUAAGGGUUUCAUGUCAUCACAGAGGAAAAUCACAUGGUUCAUUUAAUGACCUCGAUGAUCACCCUGUCAUAGUACAGAACAGUCGCUGGGCUAAUCUUCCUCCUGAGCUACUUUAUGAUGUCAUUAAAAGGCUAGAGGAGAGUGAAAGUACAUGGCCAGGUCGAAAGCAUGUUGUUGCAUGCGCUGCUGUUUGCAAAUCAUGGAGGAGUAUGUGCAAGGAUAUUGUUAGAAACCCAGAGUUCUGUGGGAAGCUGACAUUUCCAGUUUCUCUGAAACAGGUAGCUUUUUAUGUCUUUGUUUAUGCUUAUUGCUUACUAAUACACGAUACUACACACUGUUCCUUAUAAAUGACUUACGUUUUGUCUUGGAGUGUGAUGUUCUUCUGUUUGACUAUUUCCGACGUAGUAGUUCUUUGCGACAAAUGUUAUGGUAUGACGACAACGCUAAACCACAUUUAUUGUCUUUUCAGCCAGGAUCUCGUGAUGGGGCUAUUCAGUGCUUUAUAAAGCGGGAUAAGUCUAAUUUGACUUACCACCUUUUUCUCUGUCUUAGCCCUGGUGAGUGAUCUCUUCCAGUCUUAAAGAAGAUAAAUCUUUGUGCUUUAAUGUUCUUGUGAUGCACAUAUCUUAAAUGUUUCUCUCAACAGAGGGAUAUAGAAAGGCUACUGAGAAUUGUUGUCUAGAGUACCAUCGUAAUCUGAUGAUAUCACUAAGAUUGUCAGUAUUGGUUAUAAAUCUGUUAAUCUUUUUGUUGUCAAGGAAAGAGAUAAAUUUAUUAUCAGCACUCCAAUUAUUUGCGGGAUUGCAUUUAUUGCUUGGCUUAUUGGGAACAAAAUGAUAUACAGGCUGCCCUAGUCUAGUCUGUUUGGAUGAAUAAAUUUGUCAGAAGUGGUAAUAAAUCUGCUAUGUUUUUUGUCGUGACUCGUGAGUGAACGAAGCAAAUGCGAGCUAUUAUCAGGACUAUAGUUUCCUAUGGUUGUGUUAUAUCGACUUAUCAAGAGCAAGAUAAUUUUCCCGAAUAGGAUUAUCUUUGUGUUCAGGGUGCAGCACAUAUAAAUUCUUUGAUUACUAUAGUGAAUAUGGAAUUUUUGCAGCGAGUAAUCAUGUGGUUGAACCGGUCAUGUGUGCAGGAAACAGAAGCCCUCUUCUGUUAGAAUAGUUAUUGUGUUUUAUGAGUUUUUGAUAUCACACAUAUAUAAAUCUUAGAUUGAAUGUCUCGCUGGUUUUGAGUGUACUGGACCUUGUUGAUGAAGAGUCCCAUACCUUUUCACUUUCUUCUGAGAUUUGUUAUAAUGCUCAUCUUGUCCAGCUUUUUAAUGCCUUUUGUAUUUCACAUAUACUUUGUCAUGAUUCUCUUUUUAUGCCCUUGUUAGUAAGGUGGUAUGUUUGUGCUUAUAUUAAGUUGUACACACACACACACACGUAUAUGUAUAUAAAUAUAAUAUUCUGUAGGUGUUGAUAUGCUUUUGGGACUUUUCCUUACUGUAGCUUUGCUAGUUGAAAAUGGAAAGUUUCUUCUGUCUGCAAAAAGAACGCGACGAACAACUUGCACAGAAUAUGUGAUCUCUAUGAAUGCAGAAAAUAUUUCAAGGUCCAGCAGCACCUACAUUGGAAAGCUAAGGUAACAAGAUAGAGCUGUGACGUAGAUUAAGAUUUUGAUCUCUCUUUGGCUUAAAUCUCUGAAUUUUUAAUUGGUUUAUUUGAAGUUAUACCAAAAACACAUUGGUGGACUUUAAGCUUAAAUUGGUCACUUUGGAGUGAGUUGAGUUAUAUAAAUAAUGCCCUUGUUGUACCCUGUGAGCUCAGAAUAAGAGCUGCAGCUGCAGGCUUUUGUUUAACUUGGGGAUUAAGAAUGUAUAAAGAACUACUAUUGGUUAAAAAGCAUGUGCUGUAUAUAUGGCUUACAUAAACAGCUGACGUGAUAGGAUCAAGAUAAUUGCACAUAAAUUGCCUUAUCUUGCCUUUUCAUAUCUAAUCGAUACAUAGUAGGAAAAGUCAUUUGUCAUUUGUCAAGCAGAUAUUUGCCUUGCAAUGUAGUUUUACACUUUCAUUAGUUUUCUAAGGUAAAUCAAAGACCCUUGAUGAUGAGCUUACUAGGUGAGUAGUUGUAAUACUUGGUGGGAGUCUAGUCUUUGUGUAAUAUUUUUUCUAGGACGUUAUGCUGCUCUCAUAAUUAAAAAUAUGAUUAGUUGGGUUCACCGCUGAUAAUAUUAAUUGCUAUGCAUUUCUUUUAGUACGAGUCAUCAAUUAAAUUCUCAUGCAUGAGGCAACAUAUAUUCUCCAUUAUAGCAAUGUUUGCUUCCUUCUUAGUACCUCUAAAAACGUGCAAAGUUGGUGUUGUCUUUUGAUAAUGCUUAUAUCUACGUAUAUAAUUUAAGAAAUUAUUUUCUAAAUGCAUCAAAUCUUGUAUGACUGAUAUCAUUGCCGUUGUCUGUUUCAGAUCGAAUUUCCUUGGCACAAAAUUUAUUAUAUAUGAUACCCAGCCUCCACACGCUGGUACCCAUGUUCCGCCACCAGGCAGAUCUAGCCGUAGAUUCUAUUCCAAAAAGGUCUCUCCUAAAGUCCCAACAGGCAGCUAUAACAUAGCUCACAUCACAUAUGAGCUUAAUGUCCUUG